GAGUGCGCCUGUCCCUGUGGUGGGAGCAGUGGCGCCGAGCGUGCCCACGGGCCGCCGCUUGGGUUUCUCUCGUGUUCAGGGUAGUAUGGACGUGGACAAUGGCAGUGGCCCCUGGCUGGCCCAAGAGCCGGGUCCAGAUACGCGCGCCUGAUUCCAGGCGUCAUAACCAACCCGGGGCCGCGAGGCUGGGAUCAGGCACCCCGGAGCCGCUUGCCCGUGGCCGGGCUGCUCUCCCCCUCUAAGCCUAAGCACCGCCAGUCGCGGCGCUGCGCUUUCCGCCGACCUCCCAGAGCGUCCCGCCGUCGCCGGCGGCCAGCCUCGCGCAGGACCAGUGUGGCGCCGCCCUGCUGUUGCUGGGGGGCGCCCGAGGCCUCCAUUCCUUGCCCAGGCUUCCGGCUCUCGGGGCGGCCUCCCUUCCGCCCACGCUCCAGGGCUUCCCCGGCUCCCGAGCUCCGAGCUUCCACCACAUCGGCCGGCUCAGGACAGGUAUGCUCAUCCCGUCACUUUUUAACUUUUUGUUGUUUCUAUUUAUAUUUUAUUGUGCUAUGUCUUGAAAUGUUGUUGUAGCUAUUACUUUUGAUUGGAUAUUAUUUAAUAUUCCUACUUUGAAUAAGAGUAGUUUGCACACCACACAGCUAUAGUGUUAUAAUAUUGUGUUUUGUUUUGUAUCCUAUUAGCAGUGAGGAUUUUUUUACCUUUAGGUGAUCAUUUAUUGCUCAUUAAUGUACUCUCUUUAGCAUUCCUUUAGGACAGACAUGGUAUUCAUAAAAUACUUCAGCUUUUGUUUGUCUGGAAAAGUCAGUAUUUCUUUUUAUUUGAAGAACACUUUCACUGUAUAUGCUAUUCUAAGGUAAAAGUUUUUUUCCUUUAGUACUUUAAAUAUUUAUUGCUUCUCUCUCCUGGCCGGUAGGGCUUCCACUGUAAAGUCGGCUGCCAGACGUGUUGGAGCUCACCGGUAUGUUACUUGUUUCUUUUCUCUUUCUUCCUUUAGAACUUUUCUUAUCUUUGACUUUUGGAGGAUCUACUGAACGCUUUGAAAUAGUCUUUUUGGGGUUAAAUCUGCUUAAUGUCCUAUAACAUUUUUGUAGUUGGAUAUGGAUAUCUUUCUCUAGGUUUGGAAAGUUUUCUGUUAUUAUCCCUUUGAAUAAAUUUUUCUACCCCUGCCUCUGUCUCUACAUCUUCUUUAAAACCAAUAGCUCUUAGAUCUGUCUUUGUGAGGCUAUUUUUCUAGAUCCUGUAGGCAUGAUUUGUUGUUUUUAUUCUUUUUCUUUUGUCUCUUCUAUGUAUUUUCAAAUAGCCUGUCUUCAAGCUCACUAUUUCUUCUGCUUGAUCCAUUCUGCUAUUAAAUGGCUCUAAUGCAUUCUUCAGCAUGCCAAUUGCAUUUUUCAGCUCCAGAAUUUCUGCUUAAUUUGUUGUAACUAUUUCAAUCUCUUUGUUGAGUUUAGCUGAUAAAAUUUGGAAUUUCUUUACUUUGUUAUCUUAAAUUUCUUUCAGGUUUUUUUUUUCUUUUUACAGCUAUGUUGAAUUCUCUGUCUGAAAGGUCACAUAUCUCUUUUUCUCCAGGAUUUGUCCCUGGUGCCUUAUUUAGUUCACUUGGUGAGGUCAUGUUUUUUUCCUGGAUGGUGUUGAUGGUAGUAGAUGUUCUUCAGUGUCUGGACAUUAAAAUCUUGGGCAUGCAGCACCAUAUGAGAGGUUUAAAAAAUAAAAUUAAAAAAGAGAAAAGGUGAGUAUUUAUUGUAGUCUUCACUGUCUGGGCUUAUUUGUAGCUGUCUUUCUUGGGAAGACUUUUCACAUAUUUGAAAAGACUUGGGUCAAAUAUGGGUCAAAUAUGGCUUAGGUUGUGAUCUAAGCCAUAUCUGCUUUAUGGGGUACCUUAUACCCAAUAAUGCUGUAAUUCUUCCAGACUCAGAGAAAUACCACCUUGACAGCCUUCAACAAGAUCCAGGAGAAUUUUCUGGAUUACUAGCCAGAGACUCUUGUUCUCUACCAUUAUUUUCUCUCAAAGAUACAGAGUCUUUCUCUCUGUUCUAAGCCACCUAAAGCUGGGAGAAGAAAGACACAAGCACCCCUGGCCACCACCACUAUGACUGCCCUGGAUCAGACCUGAAGCUAGCACAGCAUCGGGUCUUGCUCAAGUCCUGCUGCAUGAACUUUCUGAUGACUGCCUAUGUUCACUCAAGGCCUUUGGUCUCUACAAUUAGCAGGUGGCAAAGCCAGCCAGGCCUGUGUUCUUUCCUUUAGGGCAGUGAGUGCCCUCAGUCCCUGGCUGGGUCCAGAAAUGCCAUUCAGAAGUCAGGGAGUACAGUCAAAAAUUUUAGAAGUCCACUUGACAUUCUAUUGCAUUGCAGCUGAUCUGGCACUCAAACCACAAGACAUAGUUCUUCCUAUUCCUCCCUUCCUUUCCUAAAGGCAGGGUAGCCACCACCACCUCAGGCCACAGUGAGUACUGCCAGGCUACCACCAAUGUUCCCUUAAGGCCCAAAGCCUCUUGUCAGCUUGUGAUGAAUGCUGCCUGGCCUGGGACUUGCGUUUUCAGGACAAUGGGAUCCCUACUGGCCCUGGGCAGCUUCAUAAAUGCCAACCAAAAAUCAAGUCCUAGAAUCAGGGAUUCUGAAAGUUCGCUUGGUGCUCUACCCACCUCUGGCCUUGCUGGUACCUAAGGGGCAAGAAAAAGUCCCCUUUAAUUUUCCCUCUACUUUUCCCAAGAAGAAGGAGUUUUGCCUCUUAGCCACCACAGCUAGUAAUGUGCUGACCUCACCUAAAUCUAGCAAGUCUAUGAGGGUCAUCCAAGGCCCUUGAUGUAGUACCUGGGUAUGGCUGCUGGUUAUUCAGAGCCCAAAGGUUUUCAAGUUUGCAGGCGAUAAAUCCUGCCAGCACAUGGUUCUUUUCUUCAAGGCAGCAGGUUUUUUUCUGGCCCAGGGUGUGUCUAGGAAUGUCUAGGAGCCAGAGACUGGAAAGGAGGCUGCAGGAUUCUGACCAGUGCACUACCUUGCUGUGGCUGAGCUGGUGCCCAGGAUGAAAGACAAAGUACUCCCUAUUCUUUUCCUUCCUCUCCUCAAGCAGAAGGAUGGGGUCCCUUUUGGAGCCAUGAGCUGUGCAGUCUGGUGUUAGCGGAGUGAUAAUGCCAGAACUCCUUUGGCUGCCCCAGCUGGUGUCUCAGUAUGUUGCCUGCCCUCCCCACCCCAGUCCACUGUCCCUGGGCCCCAUUCAGCCCUAGGCCUCACCUAAGAGUUACAGUCCUGAUGGCCUAGGCUGCCUUUCAAGUUUUCUUAGACACACAGAGUGCGGGAGCCCUUAGUUGCCAGGUUUCCAAACACUGAAGUUCCAACCACUGGAAUCUGAUUCUCCUCUGGCUAGGGCUGGCUUAAUUGAUCACUCUGUGGAUCAGCAUUAACUGCACUUGGUCUGGUUUUCCUUUCUGCUCUAACAGGACAGCACUGAGUUCAGUGCCUCACAAUUGCUGUGUUCUCUCUCCCGCAGAACCCAGAGUUGAUCUCUGCAGCAUGCCAUCACUGCUGGGGAUGAGGAAACGGUGAUUUCAGGACUGUUUUUUCUGUCUCUUCAGUGCCUCUUUCAGUGAUCUGAGGUUAAAACCAGAGGGACAAUCAGUGGAGCCUUCUUUCUGCCGUCUUGCUUUACUCUCACGCCCAAGAAUCAGAAUUCAGAACUUUUAAUAAGAAAAGCUUUCAGAACUCAGGAAGGACAAGGAAGACAUUCUGGUUCUCCAUGCUUAACAUUGGACUGUUUCUUCAACUGAGGUGCAUAGCACUGACUAAUCAGGGAUUAUCAUAGAUAGUUUGACUUGGACUACGCCGUUCAUUCAAAUUCUUUAUCUAGACAAUUUAAGUACUAGCUGAUUUGGCAUGAAAAUCUGGCAAAGUAUUUUCUUGGUAUUCAAUUGAUUUUUAUUCUGCUUGGGUUAGCAGUUUUAUUAACCAGUUAGUCUCUUCAUUAAAGUUCUGGGAAUUCUUACCCAGUUCAAAUAAUAUCAUUCUAAAGUUCUCAAAAACCUGUAUUCAAGAGUGCUUCUGAGGGCCUUCUCCAUCCUUUCAUGAACCUCCUUAAAGAUACAAUAUUCCAGGAUUUUGCAAGCUUGUAAAGUUUUCAGAAACUGCCUCAGAAUUAAGCAAUUUACUGUGGAAAUGACUUUAAGUUGUCAUAGUCAGACACAAUUGACAAGAAAAUUUUAUUUAUUUAUAGGCAUGAGCCACAGCGCCUGGCCUCUAAAGCUAAUUUAAUAAAACUUUAUAAAUGCAUUUAUCAAAUGUUGUUAUCUUUUAAUCCCAGAUUUUUGUGAACCUAUGCUUUGCAUUUUCCCCCAACUUUCUAUAUUUAUCUAGUUUUAUCUAGUUUUUUUUACUUCUUCAAUUUGAAACCUUUAAGUAACUUCAAACCAAAAAAAAAAAAAAAAAAUUAAAACACAGUUUUAUGUCUUUAUAAGUUUUAUCAUCAAAAACAUAUUUUCACAAUCCUAUAAUCCCAACACUUUGGGAGGCCAGGGUAGGUGCAUCACUUGAGGUCAGGGGAUCGAGACCAGCCUGGCCAACAUGGUGAAACUCUGUCUCUACUAAAAAUACAAAAAUUAGCUGGGUGUGGUGGCGAGCACCUGUAAUCCCAGCUACUUGGGAGGCUGAGGCAGGUGAAUCACUUGAACCGGGGAGGCAGAGGUUGUAGUGAGCUGAGAUCAUGCCACUGCAUGCCAGCCUGGGCAACAGAACAAGACUCAGUCUCAAAAAAGAAAAAUAAGGCAUAUCUUGCUUUUUAUACACUCUAUGCAGAAUUGUUUCUCUCAUAUCUAGUAAUUAAGUCUUAGGAGCCCCAAUAUUCAAUGAAACCCUAAAAAGUUAUUUUUCAACUGUCUUAUAUCAGUAUUUUUAGAUAAAAACCAUUUUACAACUUUUAAGAAAUAUAGUUCUUCAAAUUACUGUUUAUUAACAGAACUAAAGAUAUUUAGGUUUUCUAUACCAUAUACAAGAAACAUGUCAUGGUAUAUAGAACUAAACUAAUUUUUAAUGGUUAAUAUUUCACUAUUUUAGCUUACAAAUGACUCAAGAUAUUUUAUGGCUAUCUAUUACUUAAUUUAACGUGACUUUAAGAUUUUAAAUUACUGAACAGAAUUUUGAAACCAUGACACAGGUAGCAUCCGUAAUGUCUUCCCUCAGUAAUUUUAGGUCCCAAGUAGCCACAUGGCACCCAGGAAAACUGUGAAGAUCAGGGCCUGCCUGAGUCCAUUAGGACUAAAGACAGAGCUGUGAAGGCUAUACCUGGAGGAUCCAACCCCUCCUAAAAUAGCCAGAAGGCAAAACAGGGAAAGCACAGAAAGAAGGGGCCGAUUGGGCUUGAUUCUGGCUUUUAGCUGCUGGUCUAGGCACUGAGAACAUGUCUCCAUACUUCAUCAUGGUCCUCUAUCAAGACCCCCUGAAUCCAGAAACUCUCAACAAAAGACAUAAGCUCACAGUUAAAUCAAGCAAAUAUCUAAUUAUAUUUAAUGGAUAAUUGUAAAGCCAUUUCUAUUUUACUAACGAUUUAAGAACAAGCUUAUUUACAAAAUAUUAUCACAUACACGUAACACAUAUAGACAUACAAACACACAGAAGCAGAUCUUAUAGCUUUCAUAAAGGAUUUAAAAAUGUUUUAUUUUAGGCUCGGGGGAACAUGUGAAGGUUUGUUACAUAGACAAACUCGUAUCUCAGGGGCUUGUUAUACAGAUUAUUUCAUAACCCAGGUAUUAAGCCCAAUACCCCAUAGUUAUCUUUUCUGUUCCUCUCCCUCCUCCCACCUUCCCCCCCUCAAGUAGACCCCAGUGUCUGUUGUCUGUUGUUUCCUUCUUUGUGUUCAUAAGUUCUCAUUAUUUAGCUCCCACCUAUAAGUGAGAACACAUAGCUGCACAGUAUUCCAUGGUGCAUAUGUGUGUUCUGUGUGGGAAAUGUGUGAGGAAAGAAGAAAAGAAACACACAAUACUUUUAAGGGUAAACAGACUUUAUCACAAGUAUAUGGCAAUAUAGAUAUAAUAAGCAAAUGAUACAAUAAACAAAUUGUAAUGGGAAGGGGAGAAGGGAAAAUGUAUAUAUAUAUGUGUGUGUGUAUAUAUAUGUAAUAUAUAUACGUAUAUAUACACAUAUAUGUAUAUAUGUAUAUAUGUGUAUAUGUAUAUAUCUAUAUAUACAUAUAUGUAUAUAUGUAAUAUAUAUAUGUAUAUAUAUGUGUAUAUGUGUAUAUACACAUACACAUAUGUGUAUAUGUGUAUAUACACAUACACAUAUGUGUAUAUGUGUAUAUACACAUACACAUAUGUGUAUAUGUGUAUAUACACAUAUACACAUAUGUGUAUAUGUGUAUAUAUGUAUAUAUACACGUAUAUAUCUAUAUAUACAUAUAUAUACGUGUAUAUAUGUAUAUAUAUGUGUGUGUGUAUAUAUAUAUACACACAUAUAUAUAUAUUUUUUGUUUUACACUCGCCAGACUAUGGAGGAUUCAUCAACAGACCAGGAAGCAACAGCCUGGGCUCCAGAAUUGACCAGUAGUCCGUGCACAGACGAGGAGAGGUCCCAUGAAACUUCGGCGCAGUCUGGGAACCGAGCUCUUUUUGUAACAAGUUGUUUGUCAGGAGGCCCGGUCAUGAAAGCCCUUCCUGACUGGGCUCAAGGAAUACAAAAAGGACAACUUGUUUUUG
rnacentral:lncRNA from 1 species